UCGGGAAUAUUGCGCAAUGGAGGAAAACUCUGACGCAGUGACGCCGCGUAUAGGAAGAAGGUUUUCGGAUUGUAAACUAUUGUCGUUAGGGAAGAGAAAGGACAGUACCUAAGGAGGAAGCUCCGGCUAACUACGUGCC
rnacentral:rRNA from 1 species